rnacentral:rRNA from 1 species
AAGGUAGCAUAAUCAUUUGCCUUUUAAUUGGAGGCUAGUAUGAACGGACACACGAGAAUGACCCUGUCUCUAUGUUAUCAAUAAAAAUUAAUCUUUAGGUGAAAAAGCCUAAAUCCUAUAAGAAGACGAAAAGACCCUGUGGAGCUUCAUUUUCAUAAAAACCUUUACUACCAAAAGAAUUUCCCAGUUUUCUAAAAGUUUAGUUGGGGCGACUAAGGAACACAUUAAACCUUCCUACUAACAAAGAAAAUAAGUCUCCCAUAGAUCCAUUUUCAUGAAUAUAGACUCAGCUACCCCAGGGAUAACAGGCUAAUCUUCUUCGAGAGUUCAAAUUGACAAGAAGGCUUGGCACCUCGAUGUUGGCUUAAGAUCUCUAUAAAGUGCAGCAGCUUUAGUCAGUGGGUUUGUUCAACCCUUAAAAUCUUACGUGAUCUGAGUUCAGACCGGA